rnacentral:rRNA from 1 species
GACGAACGCUGGCGGCGUGCUUAACACAUGCAAGUCGAACGGAAAGGCCCUGCUUUUGUGGGGUGCUCGAGUGGCGAACGGGUGAGUAACACGUGAGUAACCUGCCCUUGACUUUGGGAUAACUUCAGGAAACUGGGGCUAAUACCGGAUAGGAGCUCCUGCUGCAUGGUGGGGGUUGGAAAGUUUCGGCGGUUGGGGAUGGACUCGCGGCUUAUCAGCUUGUUGGUGGGGUAGUGGCUUACCAAGGUUUUGACGGGUAGCCGGCCUGAGAGGGUGACCGGCCACAUUGGGACUGAGAUACGGCCCAGACUCCUACGGGAGGCAGCAGGGGGAAAUAUUGCACAAUGGGCGGAAGCCUGAUGCAGCAACGCCGCGUGCGGGAUGACGGCCUUCGGGUUGUAAACCGCAUUCGCCUGUGACGAAGCGUGAGUGACGGUAAUGGGUAAAGAAGCACCGGCUAACUACGUG